UACGUAGGUGGCAAGCGUUGUCCGGAAUUAUUGGGCGUAAAGCGCGCGCAGGCGGCCUUUUAAGUCUGAUGUGAAAGCCCACGGCUCAACCGUGGAAGGUCAUUGGAAACUGAAAGGCUUGAGUACAGAAGAGGAAAGCGGAAUUCCACGUGUAGCGGUGAAAUGCGUAGAGAUGUGGAGGAACACCAGUGGCGAAGGCGGCUUUCUGGUCUGUAACUGACGCUGAGACGCGAAAGCGUGGGGAGCAAACAGG
rnacentral:rRNA from 1 species